rnacentral:misc_RNA from 1 species
AAGGAACAAGAUGAAAUUGGUUGAAUGUGUUUUCUAGAGAUUUAUUCUACAUCUGAUGUUAUUAAGCAUAUGACUAUUGUUUAAGAGACUUUGUGCACGCUUUAUAAUUAGUAUGUUGAAGCUCAUAAAGCAAAAAAUUUUGACACAAAAAUUAGUGUUGCUGAAAACCAAAGGGAAGGAUCUAAUUGUAAUGUUAGUGGGAAAGGAAAAGUUAGAGGG